GAAAGCUAUCCAAGAUGAAAUCCGUUCAGUGAUCAGACAGAUCACAGCUACGGUGACAUUUCUGCCACUGUUGGAAGUUUCUUGUUCAUUUGAUCUACUGAUUUAUACAGACAAAGAUUUGGUUGUACCUGAAAAAUGGGAAGAGUCGGGACCGCAGUUUAUUACCAAUUCUGAGGAAGUCCGUCUUCGUUCGUUUACUACUACGAUCCACAAA